AUUUUCUCCGUUAACUCCUUAUUACAAAAAAAAAAUUCUCCGCUAAAGUUAACAAAACUGUUAGUUUAAUUAAUUAUAAUUAUUUUAUUACUUUAAUAUUUUCAAAUAAAUAAGAUUAAUAAUAUUAAGUAUUUUUUUUAACGAUUUUAUCGAAAGUCAUGUAGAUAGUACAAGUUUAUCGCCAGACUCAAUGAUUUGUAUAGUGGGGUUUUGUGAUGAAGCGAUUCUUCAAAGAAAUUCGAUACAAAUCGAAUAUAAUCAAAUAAACCCUAAAAUUUUCUCGAAGCGACUCUUUAUAGUUUCCUUCUUUCAAGACACAGAAGCAACCAGUAGCAAGUCAAAAGAUGAAUUAAUUUUGAUUGGAUUCUGCUAUAGAGAGUAAAUAAUGCCAUGGCUGUGUCCAUUGCUCCCAGUUACGUGUUAUUAAAUACUUUUGAAUUUUUCAAUCCGAAUGAUUUUUGGAUACACCAAUAUACUUUCCCUAUUUUUUAUUUGUUUUGGAUACCUGUAUGAUCGAGGAGAAGAUUCCAAAGUAGCAGGUUUUAGAGCAAUUGUGUUUUGCAACUGUCGGUAGGAGAUUCGUCAAUGCUACCUCCCCUAUUCAAAUAUUUGUUUCAAACCAUGUAAUUUUAUUGCUCAUUAGUCUUUAUGUUGUUCAUACAAUUGAUGUGCUUUUUAAUUUGUUAUGUGUAUAUUUUUAUUGUGAUUGUAGCGAUACCAGAUAAUAUGGAAUUUCAUUUAGGAGAUACGUUCAAUUACACUACUUCAGAUGGAUUUGUACAUAUUCAUGUUCUCAUAGCUAUUAAUAAACUUAUGGUUAUAUAAUUUAUUAUUUUGGGUGUUAAUAAUUCAUCUUGUAGACUUAAAUCAUUGUCUUGGAUCUUGAAGGUUAAGAUUCAAAUAGUAAUAGUGAAGUGAGAUCAAAGAUCAUUUAAACAAGAGUAUGCUACAUAAAAUUUAUGCUGACAAAUUUAUUGGUAACAGAAUUUUAAUUUUCCAUCUACUUGGCUCUACUUUUCUUUUGUAUAAUUUUUGUUGUGUGUUAGAAAUUUCAUGUUGUUGGUACAUGUAUAAUAAUAGUGUUUGAUUAUGUUUUUCUUCUUGAUUUGUAAGAGUUUUAGCACUAUGAGAUUGAUUGUGUUCACUUGUGUUUGUUCUCUUUUUCUAAUAUCCAUAUAGUUAAUGUACCCUGCUCAGAUUACAAGAAAUUUAUCUCUGUAUGACCUCUAAAACUCUUCAAGUAUUAUCUUUUUAAAAAUAUACUAGGGUGGUUUCCAAUAGUAGUUGAUUUUCUUUGUUUCAUUACUUUUCAUAUAUAGUGAAAAAAUCAUAAGUUUUAUAUGAAGUGAAAAAUCCAUAUGUGAGACAUAUAGUGUAAAAAGCCAGAAGCUUUGUACAGAGUAAAUACAUUCAUUGACAAUUCAUGAAUACCUUGUUCGACUCAGUUUGGUGCCGAGUGUCCUGUCCUGUCAGGCUAGACUAUUUUGUCAAUUAAUAAGUGUGAACCAGUUGAUCCAGAUGGCUUACAAAAGCUGUUAAGGGUACUUAAAUCAGUUGAUGUGAAUGGUUUGUUUGUUGAUUGUUGGUGGGAAAUUGUGGAGGAACAUGUUCUCGAGGCGUACAACUAGAAUGAUUACAAAAAGACUCUUUUAAAUAGUGUGCGUGUGAGUUCAAGCUCAAGUUAUAAGUGAGUUUAUAUGUCAUUACUAUUUUCCUGUGCUUAUUCUAGCUUAUGUCUUUUGUUUCACAAUGAAUAUUAUAGAGACAUAGCUUACUAACUAAUAUUUAUUUAUUUUAAAGGAAGCAAUAUGAUAUUUGAUUGGCAUCUUGAUCAAA